GACGAAGGGGGCUAGCGUUGUUCGGAAUUACUGGGCGUAAAGCGCGUGUAGGCGGUUGCCCAAGUCGGGUGUGAAAGCCUUGAGCUCAACUCAAGAAAUGCACUCGGUACUGGGUGACUAGAGGACCGGAGAGGAUAGUGGAAUUCCCAGUGUAGUGGUGAAAUACGUAGAGAUUGGGAAGAACACCAGUGGCGAAGGCGGCUAUCUGGACGGUUUCUGACGCUAAGACGCGAAAGCGUGGGGAGCAACAGGA
rnacentral:rRNA from 1 species